GACGAACGCUGGCGGCGUGCCUAAUACAUGCAAGUAGGACGCAGUUGCGAACGGGAGAGUAACGCGUAGGUAACUACCUAUUAGAGGGGGAUAACUAUUGGAAACGAUCGCUAAUACCGCAUACUAGUAGAUGGACCUGCGUUGUAUUAGCUAGUAGGUAGGGUAAUGGCCUACCUAGGCAACGAUACAUAGCCGACCUGAGAGGGUGAUCGGCCACACUUGGACUGAGAAAACGCCCAGACGUCUUCGGGAGGCAGCAGUAGGGAAUCCUCGGCAAUGGGGGGAACCCUGACCAAGCAACGCCGCGUGAGUGAAGAAUGUUUUCGGAUCGUAAAGCUCUGUUGUUAAGGAAACGGUACUUAACCAGAAAGGGACGGCUAACUACGUGCCAGCAGCCGCGGUAAUUC
rnacentral:rRNA from 1 species